UAGGGAAUUUUCGGCAAUGGGGGAAACCCUGACCGAGCAACGCCGCGUGAGUGAAGAAGGCCCUAGGGUCGUAAAGCUCUGUUGUAAGGGAAGAAUACUUAGGAGAGGGAAUGCUCUUAAGCUGACGGUACCUUACCAGAAAGUCACGGCUAACUACGUGCCAGCAGCCGCGGUAAUACGUAGGUGACAAGCGUUAUCCGGAUUUAUUGGGCGUAAAGGGAGCGCAGGCGGUUUAUCAAGUUUGUGGUUAAAGUUCGGGGCUUAACCCCGUGAUGCCACAGAAACUGGUAGACUAGAGUGCAGGAGAGGUGAGUGGAAUUCCAUGUGUAGCGGUAAAAUGCGUAGAUAUAUGGAGGAACACCAGUGGCGAAGGCGGCUCACUGGCCUGUUACUGACGCUGAGGCUCGAAAGCGUGGGGAGCAAAUAGG
rnacentral:rRNA from 1 species